ACGCACUCGGGGCUGCCGGUCCUGGGAGCGGGAGCGUCCUGGCGUCUGGCGUCAAAGACAGUUUCCGUGCUGUAACACCAUCACAAUCUCACCAAGUGAGAGGGACCCAUACUAAACAAUGGAGAACAUUCUGGCACGUGCUUAUCAGUGUUCACCUCCAAUACCCUCUGUCUGCAUUCUAAGAGCGAGCCUAAGAUCUUCACAUUUGAUCAUGUGGCAGAUAUGGACACCA